AAACUUUUUAAUUCUUUGCAAUGAAAGUUUCCUGGAUAAUUCCAUGAGUUUUUAUAAUCAUAGAGACAGUUUUAACCUUACUUAUUCAUUACCAAAAAUAAAGACUAUCGUUACAACUUAUUCUCUAUAGAUGCAAACAAUCUCCUCUAUUUUGACAUCAAAAAAGGCAAAGACAAAACACAAAUUCCAUGGACAAGGAUGAAAACAGUAUGAUCUUCAAAUGUAUUUUGUUAAUUUACUGUUUCUUUUUGGUUUUGUUUGUCUGUCUCACUGUAUGUUUAUCUUGCAAGAGCCUACAGAAGUGAGAGAAAAUAUCUGUAGGCUAAUUUUAAACAACAUGAGAGAGGUAUUAAGAACUAAACAAAACUCUUCAAGUCACAAUCCCCUGCACAGACUACAUACAAGUUACUUUUAAACCUGAAGUC
rnacentral:lncRNA from 1 species